UUAAUACAACUUUCAACAACGGAUCUCUUGGCUCUCGCAUCGAUGGAAGAACGCAGCGAAAUGCGAUAAGUAAUGUGAAUUGCAGAUUUUCAGUGAAUCAUCGAAUCUUUGAACGCACCUUGCGCUCCUUGGUAUUCCGAGGAGCAUGCCUGUUUGAGUGUCAUUAAAUUCUCAACC
rnacentral:rRNA from 1 species